CAUAUAUUACCUUUGUGUCACGUGGCACCAAAACCCACCUGCCUAUCAAACCUAAUGACCUUUUAUAACGACCUCCUCUCAGUUUGACGUAACCAAAUAACUGGACGUAGUCUAUGUUGAUUUCCAGAAACCAUUUGAUAAAGUCCCACAUCAUAAAUUACUUUACAAAUUAAAGCAAAUAGGUAUUGACGGUCGAGUACACCAAUGGAUCGCGAAUUGGUUGAGCAACAGACAACAAAGAGUGGUGAUUGACGGAUUUAAGUGAGUGCCGGGCACUAGUGGCGUCCCUCUGGGCUCUGUUCUUGGCCCAGUGCUCUUCAUUAUGUACAUCAACGAUGUGGGUGUUGGACUCAAUAAUCGCAUUAGUAAAUUUGCAGAUGACACAAAGAUUGGUAACUCGGUUCACACUGACGAAGGCAGGCAAAGCCUCCAAGAGGAUUUGCACAAAAUUUCAGCUUGGUCUGAUAAAUAAGAGAUGCCCUUUAACGUAGACAAAUGCCAGGUCCUUAAAGUUGGAACGAGGAAUAAGAAGUUCGAUUACGAAAUGCGCGGCAUUAAACUCAAAAGCAUUCAAUGCGUUAAGGACUUCGGGGUCAAAAUCGUGUCAAACCUCAAAUUCUAACAGGAAUGCAUCGAUGCAGCAAAUAAAGCGAACAGAAUGUUGGGCUUCAUUAAAAGAAACUUUUUAUUCAAGAAUAAAGAUGUAAUAUUUCCACUCUACAAUAGUUUAGUCAGACCCCACUUGGAAUAUGUGGUUUUGGUCUCCCCACCAUGCAAAGGACAUUGCUAAAUGAGGUUUAUUCACAUUAUGUUGGUAUAUAAUGGUAGCGAGCUUAUGGAAAUUAAGUAGCAAUAUUAUUUACAAUUCAUCAUUCUGUUGGUAAUGGUAGCGAGCUUACUGAGUUACUUUACAACACUGAUUACAACUCAUCAUUCCACUCACCAGAAGGGCAUACUCAAUCACAGACAAUUUCAUAAAAUGUGUAUAGAUAUAGAGUUCUGACCAUAGCUAACAAAAACUACCCUAGUCAAGUUUCUAUGGUGCAUAAUUAUACAAUAAAAUGUAUCCCUUCAACCACCGAUCGGUAUGUGUUCACAAAGAUGAGUAUGGGGGCAAGGUAUUGUGUAGGGUUAAGAUACCAAGGCGGUGAUCAUAAGCCCACACAAAAGGGGAUGUUCACGCACUACAUAGUGACACAACAAGUGAGGUACCAGCUCACUCAGUAUGCUAGGGAACCUGUGGGGGUGAGGUUGAGACGGUGUGUCAAUUCAACUCUUUAAGUAACAUUAACAUUGUAUCAAGAUAACACUAACAAGCUUGGUGCCUAGGAGCUGGAUUUCAACGUACCUGUGGGGGUGAGGUUGAGAUGGUGUGUGAGGGGGACACUCUCACACGGUCGGCUUCUCACCUCUUCCCACUGCCCGCGGCUAGCCAGAGGCUAGUGAACGCAUUUAUUGGUGGUUUAGUUAACAUCCAAUUGGCUGGUUCUGCCAGUUCAGAAAGAGUUUCGAAGCAACUGGUUCUCUCACUCAAUACAGGUGAAAAAUUCUGCUCGUCAGUCCUCCGUGAAAAAACUAACUAAUGAUCAUUCGGCACCUUCGGCCAAGGCGUAGUCACGCCACCAGCUCCACAUCUGGUUCGUCUGUCUGACUUGCGGUUCGUAACCACCUAAUUCACAAGCAACACAUCAGUUAUUACAGGUUAUCGAUUUCUCGGUUUUCCCCGCAUUACAGAUGAACAGCUGGGUGAGCUGCACUCCAAUUCCUCAGAUCUGGAUUCAAACCUACCAAAAGUUGAGAUGCUACACAAUUAAGGUUUAUGAAGUUGUACAGUAAAAGUAGGACAGAGACAGCAUCUAAUAUCUGGUCCUUUGAAAUGGAAUAGUAACUAGAGAUCACAUUUACAAAUUACUGAAGAGCCACUGCAGGACACGCAAAACCAAUAUUUUGUGGGAGUAAAUAUAGUAAAGAUGUGAAGUAGUCUAGUCAUAGUAUAUAGUUGAAGCACAUCUGAAAGGAAACUAUAAGUUUUAGGGAGGUCAAGACUAAUUAUGAGAGACAGCAAUAUAUUUAGGAGUGCAGCUACAGACAGCCAGCUAAAAUUGAUAGUAUGUAGUUCAUUCAUUUUUUUACCUAAGGACCAAUCUAGAUAUUUAGUUAUAGAUGUUAUUUAUGGCAUUUAUGUUAUGACAAAAAUAGUCUCAAAUAACAAUCACACCUGAUGCAUCUUUACAAAGAUAUUCAACCUUGAAAAAGAUGAAACAUUGCACAUUGUGAAUAAACCUCUAAAACUCUGAGUUGCUAUUGAAGAUUAUCUUACUUCAUUUAUUUUCCAUGGAAAAUAAAAACAAUUACAUGUGAAGGCUGUUUAGAUACUUCGUGGCUUGAACCCACAUGUAAAGCAGUGAGCCCUGAACCUUUAAACCUGUGGUGUAAAUUUUGGCAGAUGCCGUUGAAACUUGGUGAGGCGUUAUCAAAAAAGUGAAAAAGAGCUCCAGGAACCACUCCCUUUUCUUGUAUUAUUGCCCUUGUCCAUCCCAAAUGGAAAGUG